rnacentral:ncRNA from 1 species
AUAUAUCCGAGGAAUGGAUAAGUACAAUAGAACAACUUUUGCAGAGAGCCGGGAUUGUUGGUGGAAGCCGGUAGGGGACACUAUUGGAAAAUGGUCCGGGAGGAUUCGUUUUCGAGCCGCAGCAUUUUUAAUGGCUGGGUAAGGGGGCGACGCGAAGCUGGCGUUAACGGCGACAGCCGCCAUGAAGGCGGCACACGAAGCUUUCUCGAUAAGCCCGAUUUUGCCGGCCGUUUUCGAGAUCGAAAUUUGGGUGGUACCGCGUGAGUUCAAACUCUCGUCCCAUGA